rnacentral:rRNA from 1 species
CACGCCGUAAACGAUGCUCACCGGCUCUAUGCGAUAAGACAGUAUGGGGCUAAUACGAAAUAAUUAAGUGAGCCACCUGGGGAGUACGUCGGCAACGAUGAAACUCAAAGGAAUUGACGGGGGCCCGCACAAGCGGAGGAACAUGUGGUUUAAUUCGAUGAUACGCGAGGAACCUUACCCGGGUUUAAAUGUAUGUNGCAUUAUGUAGAAAUACGUAUUUUCUUNGGAACUGCAUACAAGGUGCUGCAUGGUUGUCGUCAGCUNGUGCCGUGAGGUGUCNGGUUAAGUNCCAUAACNAGCGCAACCCUUAUGAUUAGUUGCUAACGGUUCAAGCCNANCACUCUAUUCACACU